AACGAACGCUAGCGGUGUGGAUUAGGCAUGCAAGUCGCGCGCGAAAGCCUUCGGGCGAGUAAAGCGGCGAAAGGGUGAGUAACACGUAACCAACGUACCCUCAGACUGGGAGUAACCACUGGAAACGGUAGGAUAAUACCGGAUGGUCCACUGGGCGAGCAUUGCCUGGCUGGUAAACGGCGGCUGCAAGGCGGUUGCUGAGGGAGCGGGUUGCGGCCUAUCAGCUUGUUGGUGAGGUAACGGCUCACCAAGGCUAUGACGGGUAACAGGUCUGAGAGGAUGAUCUGUCACACUGGGACUGAGACACUGCCCAGACUCCUACGGGAGGCUGCAGUCGAGAAUCUUCCACAAUGGGCGAAAGCCUGAUGGAGCGACACCGCGUGCAGGAUGAAGGCC
rnacentral:rRNA from 1 species